UUCUGUUAGUCUUGGCAGAGCUCGUAGC
rnacentral:piRNA from 1 species